rnacentral:rRNA from 1 species
UACGGGGGGAGCAAGCGUUGUUCGGAUUUACUGGGCGUAAAGGGCGCGUAGGCGGUCAGCACAAGUCAGUUGUGAAAUCUCCGAGCUUAACUCGGAAAGGUCAACUGAAACUGUGCGACUAGAGUGCGGAAGGGGCAACUGGAAUUCUUGGUGUAGCGGUGAAAUGCGUAGAUAUCAAGAGGAACACCUGCGGCGAAGGCAGCUCGCUGGGACGUUACUGACGCUGAGACGCGAAAGCGUGGGUAGCAAACAGG